rnacentral:sRNA from 1 species
CCUAUUUGACUUAACUGUAUUUAAUACAGAGAGGGAGAAGGGUCGGCGACAACAGAGAUAGAAGAGUGAGAUGUAAUUUUGAGGUAUGUACAAGUUCUCGUGUCCGCGGUCAUUAAGAAUGACGCUUCCCAACGUAACAUAUGGCUGCAAUUGGCUGUGGUUUUGGUGGGAAACACAAAACAACCAUAGCAACUGGACACCUCCUGCCUGGAACCCACCAUGCAAAUAAUCGACACAGAACAGACAUUUGCUCCCCCAAAACAAGAAGAUAAUCUUGCUUGCAACCGAAUAUAUACAUCGCUUUAACAUAAGAGGCAAUGUAUUUCAUUGACACGCCAUUUUCUCUCCACAUGGUAGGCAAGUUGAGACCAUGAUUGCUUACUGUAACAUUCAUUACGUGAUUUACAACAAGCACAUAUGGGCAAAAAUAUGUAGACGCAGGCCUUUAGCCUAUCGAAUUUUUCCG